CGACAUGUCCCAAAACUCAAAAUUUGCAAAACAAAAUAUUUGCACAGCUAACCAUGCAAAGUCUGAGCAUUUCCUGAUGACUGAAGAGUCCGUUUCUCCUCUGUGCUGCAUCUGUUCACUGCUUCUCUACCAGGAGGAGGUAAGAUAAGAAAAGAGUUAGUUUUUUAGGUAAAAACACACGUUUUUAUUCAUUUGUUAAWUGCAKCUGUGAAAGGAGAAUYAUUUUUUUCAUUGCCAUCACAGCAACAUGCCUCCUCACAGCUGGAUUAACUUGGUUUUGCUGGUUGGCUGUUUCUGGAUUGUUGCUGCUGAUAACCUCCAAGAGCAACAGACAGACAAAGUCAAAUCUUGUUUAACAGACAAAAACACAAAUUAUAUUGUUGCUGAUAACUUCUAUGGAAUCAUCAGUGCAUCAAAGCACUUCAAGCAAAAGACGACAGAUGCUGUCAGACGGACUUGUGACACUACAGUUUAUAACAACUGCAACAAUAAUG